GCGGCGCCGACGAGACCGGACAAGCCGCUGCUCGGCAGUACGGGAGCCAGGAUGCCUGUUCUGCUUUCCGCCUGUGUUCCUGAGGGUCCUGGUCCGCGGGCGGACUGGUCCUAGCCCUAAGAACAGGUGCUGGGACUACGACUCCGGGGCGCCUAGAGCUGCGGCGUCUUUGUCCACAUCGCUGGCCUGGUUCCUUUGUUCCGGGAGUGGACUUGGUGGCUGGCUCGCUCCGAGCAGCAUACUCUUGUUCGUGGGAAAAUCAAUGAAGCCCGUGCCUAAAACAUUUUAAUGCAUUUAAAGCAGCGUUUUUCUCGCUUUGUAACCCAAAUUGCGCAUGAAAAAAGUAAGGCGAACACACACAAGAACACGCACGCACACACUGUCGCACACACACGCAAACGCACAAGAGUGCGGAUAUUUUUCCACGGCCUGCUUUUGAUUUGGCCCCUUCGCUUCCGCUGCUGCUUUCGGCCAGGUCUGUUCAGUAAUCUAGUUAACAGCGGAAUUGAUUUAUCCCCGACAAUUAAAGCGAACACAUCACAUUUUCCACUUUUAUGUUGCUGGCAGGAGCAGGCGCUAGAGCUGGAGCUGGAGCUGUAGCACCAGAACAACUCUGCGGCGAAGUUUAGAGCCGACGCGAGAGAGCCCCCGCGGAAGCGAGCUGCUGGGGAGCUCUUGGCCAGAGCGCAUGUGCCUGCCUGCCUGUUACUGCCCGAAAACAAAACAAAGCCAGAGAACCGGACAACAGGAGAGCCGGAGACCGAGAGAAAGCGAGCGAGGAGUGAAAGCUAACUGCAGUCAGCUGGCGCCGUCUAAAGUUCUCUCUCCCGAAGCGCGACAGGCGGGUUGGCGUCAGGUUUGUUUACCAUCCUUCGAGAGCUUUCUUGAGCUUGACAGAAGAGUCCAUCGACUAAGGGAUACCCUCAACCCGAAGCCAAGACACCACAUACCGGCUGAGUUUGUAUAGUAAAUUUAUUGAUUUCGCUUUCAACGUGUUAUAGAUACAGAAUACAAUUGGAAUUUGGAAACAAUUGUUUAAAUGUAGAGUACUAAUUAUUUUUGCUUAUGACUUGACUUGAACAAUAAAUACACACGCAAGACCGUUAGAUGUAA